GUGGGGAAUUUUCCGCAAUGGGCGAAAGCCUGACGGAGUGACGCCGCGUGGGGGACGAAGGCCUUCGGGUCGUAAACCCCUGUCAGAGGGAAAGAAGGGUGUCGGUGUGAAUAGCGCCGGCAUCUGACGGUACCUUCAGAGGAAGCCCCGGCCAACUCUGUGCCAGCAGCCGCGGUAAGACAGAGGGGGCAAGCGUUGCUCGGAAUCACUGGGCGUAAAGGGCGCGUAGGCGGGAUGGCAAGUCGGUCGUGAAAUCCUUCGGCUCAACCGAAGAACGUCGGCCGAUACUGCCGUUCUUGAGGGAUGCAGAGGAGAUUGGAAUUCCCGGUGUAGCGGUGAAAUGUGUAGAGAUCGGGAGGAACACCGGUGGCGAAGGCGGGUCUCUGGGCAUCUCCUGACGCUGAGGCGCGAAAGCGUGGGGAGCAAACGGGAUUAGAUACCCUAGUAGUCC
rnacentral:rRNA from 1 species